GUCCGCUGCCGCGGGACCCGUGGCUGUGUCGGGGCUGGAGGUGGAGCCGGAGCUGGAGCUGAUCGUGAAGGAGCUGUCGCUCGGCCAGGGUGCA
ensembl:miRNA